AACUACUCGUUUCGCAUGAGCAGUAUUGUCGAGACCAAACGCUUCAUU
rnacentral:rRNA from 1 species